AUGUUAGCGACCUUCCGAUCGGUCCAUCCGAUUCGAGAGCGUGUUCUGUUUCUUCAUUUCCUUCGAGUUCCAGGCGCAAAGACAGAGACAGAGUUGAAUAAACCAAAGCAGAUCGAUUGUUCAUUCAGCAGUUACACUCACCUAUGUUUAUAUGACGCGGAAGCUGGAAGGUUGAAAUCUCGGUAGAAAAAUGGAGUGGAACACGAUUCACCAUCUGGAUCUACGACAUGUAGGAAGAGGUCUCAAACCAUUGCAACCUCAUGCUGCCGCAUUUCAUUCCCAUCAGGCACUCGUUGCCGUCGCCAUUGGGACUUACAUCGUUGAAUGUGAUGCAUUAACUGGUUGCAAGAUCUCUUCCAUUAACAUUGGUGCUCGAGUUGUUCGCAUGUCUUAUAGCCCCACAAGUGGGCAUGCCGUGAUUGCAAUGCUCGAGGUUGGUCCAUUAUAUAUGAUAUUUUUCAAC